rnacentral:rRNA from 1 species
AUUGAACGCUGGCGGCAUGCCUUACACAUGCAAGUCGAACGGCAGCACGGGAGCAAUCCUGGUGGCGAGUGGCGAACGGGUGAGUAAUAUAUCGGAACGUGCCCAGUCGUGGGGAUAACGUAGCGAAAGCUACGCUAAUACCGCAUACGAUCUAUGGAUGAAAGCGGGGGAUCGCAAGACCUCGCGCGAUUGGAGCGGCCGAUAUCAGAUUAGGUAGUUGGUGAGGUAAAGGCUCACCAAGCCGACGAUCUGUAGCUGGUCUGAGAGGACGACCAGCCACACUGGGACUGAGACACGGCCCAGACUCCUACGGGAGGCAGCAGUGGGGAAUUUUGGACAAUGGGCGCAAGCCUGAUCCAGCAAUGCCGCGUGCAGG